rnacentral:rRNA from 1 species
UACGUAGGGUGCGAGCGUUAAUCGGAAUUACUGGGCGUAAAGCGUGCGCAGGCGGUUCGUUAAGUCAGCUGUGAAAGCCCCGGGCUCAACCUGGGAAUUGCGGUUGAAACUGGCGGACUAGAAUCUGGCAGAAGGGGGUGGAAUUCCACGUGUAGCAGUGAAAUGCGUAGAGAUGUGGAGAACACGAUGGCGAAGGCAGCCCCCUGGGCUGAGAUUGACGCUCAGGCACGAAAGCGUGGGAGC